UAUAGUUCAGUUGGUAGAUUAUUUGCUUAGCAUGCAUAAAGCCCUGGGUUCUAUCCCCAGUA
rnacentral:tRNA from 1 species